UCCUGGCCGUAAACGAUGGGCACUAGGUGUGGGGAGCAUCGACCCUUUCCGUGCCGAAGCCAACGCAUUAAGUGCCCCGCCUGGGGAGUACGAUCGCAAGGUUGAAACUCAAAGGAAUUGACGGGGGCCCGCACAAACGGUGGAGCAUGUGGUUCAAUUCGAUGCAACGCGAAGAACCUUACCUGGGCUUGACAUUCCGGGAAAACCCCACGAAAGUGGGCCUGGAAGCUUGCUUCCGCCCGGAACAGGUGCUGCAUGGCUGUCGUCAGCUCGUGUCGUGAGAUGUUGGGUUAAGUCCCG
rnacentral:rRNA from 1 species